rnacentral:pre_miRNA from 1 species
UGAUGAUGACGAUGAUGACGAUGAUGACGACGAUGAUGAUGAUGAUGAUGAUGAUGAUCAUCAUCAUCAUCAUCAUCAUCAUCGUCAUCAUCAUGA